CCUACGGGAGGCAGCAGUAGGGAAUUUUCCACAAUGGGCGAAAGCCUGAUGGAGCAAUACCGCGUGCAGGAUGAAGGCCUUCGGGUCGUAAACUGCUUUUAUGUGCGAAGAAUUUGACGGUAACACAUGAAUAAGGAUCGGCUAACUACGUGCCAGCAGCCGCGGUCAUACGUAGGAUCCAAGCGUUAUCCGGAAUUACUGGGCGUAAAGAGUUGCGUAGGUGGCAUUAUAAGUGGAGCGUGAAAGCGUGCGGCUCAACCGCAUUAUUGCGUUCCAAACUGUGAAGCUUGAGUAUGGGAGAGGUAGAUGGAAUUUCUAGUGUAGGAGUGAAAUCCGUAGAUAUUAGAAGGAACACCGAUGGCGUAGGCAGUCUACUGGCCCAUUACUGACACUAAGGCACGAAAGCGUGGGGAGCAAACGGGAUUAGAUACCCCGGUAGUCCACGCUGUAAACUAUGGAUGCUAGCUGUGACACACAUCGACCUGUGUCGUAAGCGAAGUUAACGCGUUAAGCAUCCCGCUGGGGAGUAGUCGCAGAUAACUACAAGAAGUAGAGCGNGAGAGNGCGACGACGACGACGAGGGAGAGG
rnacentral:rRNA from 1 species